rnacentral:rRNA from 1 species
AUUGAACGCUGGCGGAAUGCUUUACACAUGCAAGUCGAACGGUAGAGGGGGCAACCCCUCGAGAGUGGCGAACGGGUGAGUAAUAUAUCGGAACGUGCCCAGUCGUGGGGGAUAACGUAGCGAAAGUUACGCUAAUAACGCAUACGAUCUAAGGAUGAAAGCGGGGGAUCGCAAGAACUCGCGGGAUUGGAGCGGCCGAUAUCAGAUUAGGUAGUUGGUGGGGUAAAGGCGCACCAAGCCAACGAUCUGUAGCUGGUCUGAGAGGACGACCAGCCACACUGGAACUGAGACACGGUCCAGACUCCGACGGGAGGCAGCAGUGGGGAAUUUUGGACAAUGGACGCAAGUCUGAUCCAGCCAUUCCGCGUGCAGGAUGAAGGCCCUCGGGUUGUAAACUGCUUUUGUACGGAACGAAAAGGUCUCUCUUAAUACGGGGGGCUCAUGACGGUACCGUAAGAAUAAGCACCGGCUAACUACGUGCCAGCCGCCGCUGUAA